rnacentral:lncRNA from 1 species
UCCGGGUACUCUAUCGCAGACAAACAAACAAGCAUACAAUAAGUACUCAUCUAAUGCACAGGUAAAACUCAAAUAAGAGAUUUAACCAGAAGGUUCAACUUAAGAACUCCGGUUGGAAAAAGAAAUCAAUCGAACGAAGCAAAGAAAGUCAAACGGCGAAAGAAAACAACUUUGUUCUAGUAAUCUGAAUCUAAUUCAAAUUUUACAGUAGCAAAAACUUGUUUGAGUUGAUUAUUCGAAUAGAGGGUUUCGAGACGAAACUCGAGGCGCUUGAAUCGCCUGAUUCCGAUAAACGAGCGAAAAGAUAAACUGAAAUGAAAAUCAGAUCAGGAAUCGCGAUCAGAAAAAUCGCGGAUUUAAUCCGACGAAAAAGGAAAACGACGAACGGAUUUUUUUUAAAUGGCACGGAAAACGAGGCGGCGGCGAACCUCGGGCGGCGCGCGGCUCCGGCGGGGCGGCGGCGGCAGCUGGGCUGGGGCGCUAGGGUUAUGGGGCUGGGGCGGCUGGGCUCUCGGGCCCCGGGGCGGCGCCUUAUAAAGGCCUCGGCCAGGCGGAGUCCUGGCCGAGUACGGCCCAAAGACGGUUCCUUUUUUUUAUGCUCGGAAGAAAAAUAAAAAGAAAUACUAAACGGACUCCAAAAAUCCUGAAAUAAAUUUUACCGGGCUUCUAGAAUCAAGCCCGACAAAGUGAACAUUUAUUUGGGACCUAAAUGCAAUUUUGAAAAAUGCGCAUUUUUCCUAAAUUCAAAUAAAAAUAUCAAAAAAACUCCGAAAUUUUUUAUUAGACCUUCAAUAUUUCUAUAUUUUGGGAAAGUCAUUUUAGUCCCUCUCGCAUAUUUUUGUAAUAGAAAUAAUUGAUGAUAAAAUAAAUAAAAUCAAAUGAUCCUAUGCUCAAAAUUUGAGAAAACUCAAAUGUGAGAAUAACGAAAUCCCCAACUCUCUCCGUGGGUCCUUGAGUUGCUUAGAAUUUUCUAGGAUCAAAACCCAAAAGCAAAUAAAAUAUGAUAUGCAUGAUGAUCUAAUGUAUAACAUUCCAAAUUGGAAUUUUGGGAUGUUACAGUUACCAAAGAUUGGUUUGAUGAAAACCACAAGGGAGCGAAAACCAUGAAAAUAGAUAGGUGGAGGGUGUAAGGUUGGACAAAGGGAUGGUGAGGAGAAAAUUAAGUGAAAGAUAUAACCUUAGAUUCUUUUCAAGUAGUGGAGAUUUUUCAGCCCUUUCUUAAAUUGGUAAAUAAGUAUGUGCCCAUGAUUAAUCUACUUUAUUGGGUUACCAAAUGAUUGGAUUGAUCUAGUUUAUUGGGUUACCAAAGAUUGGUUGGAUGAAACAUGAAAAAGAGGAAAAAAUCGAUGGAGGGUGGAAGGUUGGAGGAGGGAUGGUUGGGGAGAAAACUGAGUGAAAAUGGAUCCUUAGGUUCUUUUUAAGCAGUGGAGAUAGAGAUAAACAACUUUUUGUUACAAAAGCAUGGAGUGCACAAUAAAUAUAAAAAGGGGGACAUAUGUGGUUGUGAAAAAAGCAACAUACUAAGUGAUGACUCACAAGUAUAGGGGAUCGUGAUAUUCUUCGAGGGAAGUAUUCCCAAAUUUAUUGAUUAGUAGGGGAUUCAAAGAAUAUUUGUAAGCUUUAGUAGUUGAGUUGCCAAUUCCUGGAAAGAUAACUUUCUUACAACGAUUUAUUAGUACUCCCUCUGUUCCUAAAUAUUUGUCUUUCUAGAGAUUUCAACAACUGACUACAUACAGAUUAAAAUGAGUUUACCUACACUCUAAAAUAUGUCCAUAUACAUCCGUAUGUGGUAGUCUAUUUGAAAUCUCUAAAAAGACAAAUAUUUAGGAACGGAGGGAGUAGUAUAGCAAUAUGAUAGUAAUAGUGAUACUAACAGCAACAGUAAUAGUAACAAGUUUGCAAAGCAGUAACAAAGUGCAGUAGUAGUGAUUUUAGCGAAAACAAUAAUAGCAAAAGCAUAGUCAUGAAGUAACACUAAAAAAAUACACUUUCGUGAUGAUACGUGUUUGUCACGGUAGGUCACGUUUUCUGUCAUGCAUGUACAUCCAUGACAAAUUUAUGACAGAAUCAAGAUAGUCAUACCUGAGCUGUCGUAGAAGUGUUCCAUGACAUUACCAAAAUUAUCAUCACGGAAGUGUCCACUUCCAUGACGGUAAAUCGCGCAUCACAGAAGUGCUUUCGUCAAGGGUGACCGACACGUGGCAUCCACCAUAACAGAACAUCGAUAACCCGUUAACAACCCAGACCAAUGGGAUUUUCCAUGUGUAAAAUCAUCAUUGGCUGGAGGAAACACCUGUCGGCUCACCGUUGGGACAGAUGUCAUUCACUUAUUGGACCCAAAGCGCCUAUGAUACUCGACAUGUGGCACGGCCCAACAGAGGCCGAUUCCUGUGAAAAGGCCGGUCCGCUUGACUUGGUCAAAAGGUUGAGGGCCGGCCCACGGCAAGCCCGUUAAUGGCCUAUUCGCAUAUAGCCCAUUUACAUCCCGCUAACCCAGGGCCCGUUUACGGCCUAUCCGAAUUAGGCCCAGUAGCAUCAUAUGGGCUGUCCAAUAUAAUUCCGGCCCGUUUUAACUUCCGGCCCAUGUAUGGCCCAUGAUGUCUUUUGGCCCAUAUGAGGCCCUUAGUAACCCUCGGCCCAUUAAUGGUCCAUGGUAAAACUGGCCUGUAAUGAACAGUGUAUCACUUUAUACCCAUUAACGACCCAUUAUUCCGUUGGGCCAUUUCCAGUCCAUGUUGUCUUUCGGCCUUCUCAGGGCCCAUUUAUUCUUGGGCUCAUUUCCGGCAUUCGUUUACUUUCGGCCCGUUACUGUCAUUUUCUGCUUGUGGGCCAAAUACAGCCCGUGGUUAUAGUUGGUCUGUUUGUGGCCCGUUAAUACGUUGGGCCAUUUUCAUAGCGUCAUUAAAUACAGCCUAUUAACGACGGCCCGUUAUGGUCGGCCCAUGAACAAAUGACUUCAACUCUAGCCCAUUUACGACCAUAAUGUGGUCUGUUAUUGGCCCAUGUUUGGCCAACCGAUCAUACGGCCCAUAGAAGGCCCAUUGAUGAUACGGCUCGUAGAAGGCCUAUUGUGUAUACGCCCUGUAGAAGGCCCAUUGUUCCUACGGCCCGUAGGAGGCCCAUGUUAACUACAGUAAAUAUGUAGCCCAUUGUUAAUGUGGCCUAGUUUUUAAAAAAUAGGUUAUUGCAGCCACUAGCAAACCGCGGAAAAGAACUGCACUGACUACAAGAAAACAAAUAAACAAGACAACGGAAAUAAAUAAGCAAGCAACUUACGCUAGGCUAUCAUGGCUAUUACACAUAUUACAUCCACUGGGCAUCAAAGUUCACCACAAGUGCAAAUAUAGGGAACAAAGCAGCAUAUAAACGCCGCAAAAAAACAAGUCCAGAACUGAAACCACUUCAGAAGAGCUCAAGAAACAAUAUCAUGGGCACCCAUAAUGCUGGCAAGAUGCUUAGCAAGCUUAUUAACUUUCUCUUGUUUGGUGCUUAAAUCCUCCAGCACUUGCUAUUGCACCAGAAAGUAAAUCUGAAUUCUGCAGGGACUUCCUCAGUCCUUCGGCUUCCUGUCGCAUAACAUCUGAUCGAUGUCUUUUAACUUGAAGUUGAGACUCAAGAAGCCGAACUGAUUCAGGCAGCGAGUUCGAAGAGCUGGUGCCAGCAGUAGUAGCCAGUAACUCGAACACUACAUCAAGACAGGACUUUGGGGUUGUCUCAGUGUCUUCAAUAUAGUUUUUAUCAACUUUCUUGGAGAACCACGGGGAUGUCUCACUAUCUUGAACCUGAUUUGCAUUAAUUCCUUUACCAUUGCAUAACGGGGGUACUCUUCUCCAAUAUUUUAUCCGCGUUCUAAAGGAGAAACACACAAACACAUCACAGGUUUACAAUGAAGUAUAUGAAACUCAUUUUGGUAAACCAGUUCAGUAGUAAGGUGGACAGGAUAACAUCAUGAAACAAACAUAUAUCUAUGUAAUAUGAUCACUGUAUGGUCUAUAUCAUUCUAGUUUAUGUUGCCAAAUCAAGAUAGAUAUAGUUCGAAUCAUAUCUAUUUAAGACAAAGUAGCAUAGAAAGAAUAUAAGUGUGGGAAACUACACAGCAAUAACAACACUUGUAAUGUGCAUUGCGUGAGAACAUAACUGUUUAUUCAAUUGAAACUGAAAUCAACAUAGAGCAAGUUACAACAGCAAACACGUUAAAGAAACAGGUUUAAAACAUACCUGUUGCGCCAUUGGAGUUUCAAUUGCAUCCUUCAAAUUUGAAAUUAGUUGGUAUGAGUAGAUACAGUGAUGCAAGAGCAAAGUAGUAUGAACCAUAGCUAGGGAACCUGACCUGAGAACAAUUCUUCUUCUACUUUAAGCGUUGACUUGGGGUUCGGAGUUGUGGUCCUCGUGCUUUGGGCACUACAGUUGCCUUACUAACUACUCAUGUUUGGGUGCUCUGUGGUGGAGACGGUGCUGUGUCAAUGGGAACUGGGUUACUAUCUCCUGGGGUUGGGGUUAGAAGGGGUGUAGCUCGUUCUCUUUCGAACUAGGUAGGGGUACAAUCUGCGUGAGUCUGGGUUAUGUGUGGUGGGGCUGGUUCUUGGGCAAGUACAAAUGUGGUUCUAUCGCCAUCAACAGGUAGCACGAUCUUUUCUAAAGACCGUGUUUUUUACUCCCACAGAUACUGCCAUCACCCCAUCCAAUUGAAAUGGCUGAUAAAGAAGAAAAGUAAUUGAAUGUACAGACAUUGUAAGAUAGACAGGUGCAAUGGAUACUAGGGAAGAAAACAGGGCAUGAAAUAAUUCAUAUUUAUGUUGUCUAACCAAACAGAAUAGCAAGACAUAAUUUCAAAUAUAUGAUGGCUAAUUAAACAGGAUAGCAUCACACAAUUUCGCAUGUAUGAUGGCUAACUAAACAGGAUAGAAUGACAUACUUCAAAAUAUGAUGACCAUGUAAAUAGGAUGACAUGAUAUAACUAUACGAUGUGUCUAUUAAAGUGGUUGGCAUGCCAUAAAUCACAAACAUGCCGUCGAUGGAAACAUGAUGGCAUGAUAUAAUUCAUGGAUAGAAUGACAUAAUUCAAAAUAUGAUGACUAUGUGAACAGGAUGAGAUGAUAUAACUAUAUUAUGUCUUUAGAAAAUGGGUUGGCAUGCCAUAAUUCAGAUACAUGCUGUCUAUGUAAACAUCAUUGCAUGAUAUAAUUCAAAUAUAUGAUUUAUAUACUAAGGAGUGAGCAGAGGGAAAUGGCAUAUAUGAUGUGUCAACUAAGGAGAUGGCAUUGAAUAUCGUGUAUAUGAUGUAAAAACUAAGCAUUGCAAUACAACAUAUGCAUGAUAUGAGUAAUAUAGCCCCGCCAAGUUUGAGCAUACACCUCAGGGGGAUAAUAGGACUGGUCAUCUGCCUCUGAAUCCUCCCGUGAAGAGCUAUCUAUAACCAGCAACAUAUCUACUUCACCAGGUAGCAUUCUCUGCUCUAAAGACCUUGUUUUCACUCCAGAUUUCUCCAUCACCAAUUCAAAUGGCUGAUGCACAGGAAGAGCAGUUGAAUAUACAAACAUUGUCAACAAAAGCAAUGAGAAAUACAAAAAAAGGAUGGCAUGAUAUAAUUCACACAUAUGACGCUUGGCUAAACAACAUGGCAUUGCAUAAUUCACAUAUAUAAUGCCUUGCAACAAGAUAGCAUUGCAUAAUUCACAUAUAUAAUGUCUUGCAAAAAUAUGGCAUGGCAUAAUUCACACAUAUGGUAACUAGACACUAAACAGGUGGCAUUCCCACAAAUCAUGUCUAAACUAACCAAAUGACAUAGCAAUGCAAGAUACCAUACACACGAUAUGAGCAACAUAACCCUGCCAAGUUAGAGCAUGCACCUCAAGAGGGGGGGGGGAUAGGACCGGUCAUUUUUCUCUGAAUCCUCCUCUGAGGAGCUAUUUGUAACUAGCAAGACAUGCGCUUCGUUGGAUAGCAUUGUCUUCUCUGAAGACCUUGUUUCCACACCAUAUUUUUCCAUGACCAUGCCGAAUGGCUAAUGCACAGGAAGAGUAAUUGGAUGUACUCAAAUUGUUGACAAAUUUAACACGUAAUAAAAAAUGAUGUCAUGAUAUAAUUCACAUAUAAGAUGACUGGCUAACAAGGGUGGCAUUGCAAAAUUCACAUAUAUGAUGCCUAGAUAAACAAGAUGGCAUUGCAUGAUUCCUAUAUACGAUCAAGAAACUAAACAGAUGGCAUUGACACAAAGCAUGUCUAAACUAAGCAGAUGACAUCUUUUAUGUAUACAGUAAGCAAUGCAAGGCACCAUAUGCAUGAUAUUACCAACAUCAGCAUGCCAAGUUAGAGCGAAGACCUCAUGGGGUAAAUAGGUGUGGUCUUCUACUUCUGAAUCCCCCUCAGAACAGUUAUCUUCCUCUUGAUUACGAUCCGAAAUGGGUGGAGGGGGGCUGCCUUUGCUCCCACCAUGGAGCGAUGUCUGCAUGAAAUGUUAUUGCCACGCAAGGCUCGUCUCUUUUUCUCUCCAUGUUCAGUUCCAUUGUGUACAAUAACUGACAUGCAUAGGAAUAAAAGAUAGUGAUUGUGGGAGUCCUGGAUUAGGGGGUCUCCGGACAGCCGGACUAUAUCCUUUGGCCGGACUGUUAGACUAUGAAGAUACAAGAUUGAAGACUUCGUCUCAUGUCCGGAUGGGAUUCUACUUGGCGUGGAAGGCAAGCUAGGCAAUACAGAUAUGUACAUCUCCUCCUUUGUAACCGACCUUGUGUAACCCUAGCCCUUUCCGGUGUCUAAAUAAACUGGAGGGUUUUAGACCGUAGGACAACAUACAAUCAUACCAUAGGCUAGCUUCUAGGGUUUAGCCUCUCCGAUCUCGUGGUCGAUCAACUCUUGUAAUACUCAUAUCAUUAAGAAUAAAUCAAGCAGGACGUAGGGUUUUACCUCCAUCAAGAGGGCCCGAACCUGGGUAAAACAUCGUGUCCCCUGCCUCCUGUUACCAUCGGCCUUAGACGCACAGUUCGGGACCCCCUACCUGAGAUCCGCCGGUUUUGACACCGACAUUGGUGCUUUCAUUGAGAGUUCCUCUGUGUCGUCGCCGUUAGGCUUGAUGACUCCUACGAUCAUCGAUAGCGAUGCAGUCUAGGGUGAGACUUUUCUCCCCGGACAGAUCUUUGUGUUCGGCGGCUUCGCACUGCGGGCCAACUCGCAUGGCCAUCUGGAGCAGAUCGAAAGUUACGCCCCUGGCCACCAGGUCAGGUUUGUAAGCUUAAACUACACGUCCGACAUCCGUGGAGACUGGAUCUUCGACGGAUUCGAGCCCCUAGCUUGUGUGCCGCGCAGUCAUGAUGAGUAUGAUUUAGCUCUAUCAUCGGACCGUAUUCAGGAGAUCGCACCGGCAGCCGCCCCGAGCCUCAAUUCGGAGCUAGUCGCGCUAUCCAUGGACGGGUGGAUGGACCACGUCAUGGAGGCCGUACCCUCAGGGGUGAUCGAGCCAAAUAUCGACCUUACCCUUCAUGAGAGCCGUGUCGCCAAACUACCGGAUCCUUCUCCGGCCACGGACUCUGAACCGCCUGCGCCCGUGCCUAUCGAAUCCGAUUGGGCGCCGAUCAUGGAGUUUACCUCCGCGGAUAUUUUCCAGCACUCGCCCUUCGGCGACAUACUGAACUCAUUAAGGUCUCUCUCCUUGUCAGGAGAAUCCUGGCCGAACUAUGUCCGGCAGGAUUAGGAUGCGGAUGACGAAGAAAUUCGCCGCCCACCCACCACCCACUUAGUAGCCACUGUCGAUGACCUAACCGACACGCUCGACUUCGACUCCGAAGACUUCGACGGUAUGGACGACGAUGCAGGAGUCAAAGAGGAACCACUGCUCAUAGGGCACUGGACGCCCACUUCAUCACAUGACGUAUACAUGGUGGACACACCCAAAGAAAAUAAUGACAAGGAACGGAAGGACGCAGCGACGAGUGGUUCCCUCGAGCAGCAGUCAAAGCGGCGGCGUAAAUGUCGCCCCAAAUCCUGCCCCGGCAGAAAUAACGAUCACAUAGACCCUGCAUUAGAGUAGGGUGAACAAUUGCCCGACCACGGUAACACGGAAAAUCAAGCCGAACAACCCAACCCCGUCGAAGAUAACAGUCCGGACGACAUCACACCAGACAUGCGCCAGGAGCAACGUAAUGCCCACCAAAGGCUUGUUGCCACGGCGAGGAGUCUGAAAAAAUAGAAGCAAAGGCUCAAGGAUGCACAAGACACACUCAAAAUAAAAUGGAAUGAAGUACUCAACACAGCAGCGAAGUACGACAGUAAUCGCCACACCAAGAGCUACCUGAAGCGGAAGUUGCUACCUGAAUUCGAUGAGGAGGCCUUAGAUCCCCUGCAACCAAAAAUUAAAAUGGCCAUCCGGCCGGAUAGACGACCUCACGGUCAACAUAAAGCGGCGAACAACGCCACACAUAAGGCAAUGCACGACCCACGCGAGGACUCGCAUCAAAAGGACGGCGCAACGAGAUCCAUUUAUGGACCACGCAAGCGCGCUCCAGCAUACGAUGCAAUACAACAAACAUCCGAACACCACGAUACACCCAGAUACAGGGGUGCCGCACACCCCCUAUGUUUCACCGAUGAGGUGCUGGACCAUGAAUUUCCAGAGAGAUUCAAACCCGUAAACAUAGAGGCAUACGACGGAACAACCAACCCUGGGGUCUGGAUUGAGGACUAUAUCCUCCAUAUCCAUAUGGCUCGAGGGGAUGAUCUCCACGCGAUCAAGUACUUACGCCUCAAGCUCAAAGGGCCAGCUCGGCACUGGCUUAAAAGCCUCCCCGAAAGCUCCAUUGGAAGCUGGGAAGAGCUCGAAGUACCAUCUCUGUAGCGACCAGACCCGAAUGGAUCAAGUCUACUGUGCUCCGGUGUCAUCCCUGGAUCAGUAAUGCUGACACCACACAGUACAUCGAAGGAUUUAUAGCAGAGUGGCAAUCACACACUUAUUACAUCGAUGUCUCCGAAGAGAACUUAUUACAACAAUAUGGCUUAAGGCCAUCUAAUAUCGAUAACAGUGGAAGACUUGGAAGAUAAAAGGGUCCAUCAACUCCAACGGCAUCACUGAAUAUAGAACCACGACCUAAAAGCACCUUAAUCGUCAUCUGAAAAGUCUGCAACAUUAAUGUUGCAGCCCGAAACGGGUCAGCACAUGGAAUAUGCUGGCAAUGUAACACAUAGAGAAUGAUGGAAUGAAACAGCUAUACUAUAUGCAUAUUUGGCUGGUGGAAAGCUCUAUGGUUACAGUUUUGCGUAAAGCCAGUUUCUCCCUACUGCAAAGGAAUAAAUUUACUAACUAUCAUGGUGGUUGUUAAACAUUGAGAAUGGUUGACAGCAUUCUCAAUCCCAAUUAAAAGUAAUCAUUAAUAACCCAACAAUAUUAAUUUAGAAGUAACAUGUUGAGAUUCACAUGAUAUUCAAGUACUAGAUACUCAAGUUGUCCAUAACCGGGGACACCGCUAAUCAUGAUUAGUUUAUUACAGUCUGCAGAGGUUUGCGCACUUUUCCCCACAAGACUCGAUCGCCUCCGUUGGAUUUCUCGCACUACUGGUGUUUGAGAAAUGGAUGACCGAGACAUAGUCUUUCAGAAGCGCUAGCACCUUACGAUGGAUAGACCGGUACACCUACUUUCCCCUACAUCUGCUAGUCUACCCUGUAAGAGUUCGCACGACUUAGUCAACUAUGCCAGAGCCCAUAUUGGCUUGUGGCUGCACACGUAAGUAUUUAGCAUGAAAGAUCUUAUGAUCCCUUUGAGCCUGGGUGGCGGUCCAAAAUAAAACAGGCAAGUCCAGAUAGACAUCACGUGCCUCAAUCCACCCAGAUGUGUGUUUAAGUUGCCACAUUAGAUAAACCCUUAAAAUUAUCACACUCACAUCUGUCAUGGAUAUCACUCACCCAAUCCACGUCUACUAGCAUAGCAUGGCAUAAUAAGCAAACGUAGAAGUAACUCCCAAAGGUUUCAUAAUAAACAGGUAAUAGGUACUACCUCAUCUACUUCCCAUCCCACAAUUUAAUUAGAUCCUAAUCAUGCAAUGUGUGAGGAUGGAUCUAAUGCAAUAAAACUGGGUUGUAGAAAAGGUAUGAUCAAAGUGUUACUUGCCUUGCUGAUGAUCCGCGAGUCCUAGAGAUUCGAAGUAACAGGCGGCGCAAUCCGGGUAAUCUAUCGCAGACAAACAACAAGCAUACAAAAGUACUCAUCUAAUGCAUAGGUAAAACUCGAACAAGAGAUCGAACCAGAUAGUUCAACUUAAGAACUCCGGUUGCAAAGAGAGAAAGAACCGAACAAAGAAACCGAAAACAAACGGCGGAAAACAACUCGGUUCUAGCAAGUUGAAACUAGGUCAAAUUUUACCAUAGCAAAAACUUGUUUAAGUUGAUUAGUCGGAACGGCGGUUUCGAAACGAAACUCCAGGCGCUUGAAUUACCUGAUUCCGAUAAACGAGCGAGAAGAUAGACUAGAACGAAGAUCGGAUCUGAGAUCGCGAUCGCGGAAUAAAUCCGACAAAAAGAAAAAGAAGAACGGUUAAACGAACGGACGUUCGUU